UCAAACUUUACCGCGCUCACAGAUUUAGCUAUGAGUGCAUAACCAACACAAACAUGGAGUUCCUGCUCUGGAGUUGUCAGGAUGUUGCACACUGGAUCGAGACUAUCGGAUUCCCGCAGUAUAAGAUGUGUUGUGGAAUUGUGGAGGACCUGUUUUUAGAUAAACAAAACAUGUUUUCUCUUGAACGCCCCCAUGUUGUGAGGGGUCUGCGUGAACUGUUGCUCUCGUGUCCUAUCAUGGACACACACAGGAGAUCAACGCUUGAAGAGGUGGUCACCAUAAACUGCCAUUGUGACAUCACUGAGCACAACAUUUAUCCACAAUUUCCCCCUUUGUGUUCAGAACAAGAAAGAAAGUCAUGUAGGGUUACAACAACAACAACACGGGGGCGUGUUUCUCAGAGAAUUUUAUCACGGGCAGAAAACUCAUUUAUGUGAACUGCUUUUACUUGCCACGGUUAGGAAUCACCGACUUCCAACAUAUGAAGGUCAUCUCAGCUCGUGUUCGAGAUCUGCUCGGCGUCUCUGAACCGCUGUGGAGUCGAAGUGUUGCAGAUCCUCCUCAUGAUGACAUCACAGUUUUCCUGCAGGUGAAGAGCAGAACCGGCCAGAACACAGAGUCACUUGACUACGAGCGUUUCCUCAUCACAAGAGCAAUAAAUGAGCUCAAAUAAAAACCAUCAAUUCAAGUUUUUAUAUAUUGGGUAAAUCUUGGGGUUUUAUCAGAGGACCAAAUGUUUGAGAGUUUCACCAUGACAACUUCCUCUUCUUGCUCUAUAAAUAUGGAUUGAAAUGUAUCGCAGUACAAAUACAUUUUUUAUCAUAUGUAUUUCAUGCACCAAACACUAUAUUAACAUUUAAAAAAGAGAAAUUGUCAAA